rnacentral:rRNA from 1 species
GACGAACGCUGGCGGCGUGCUUAACACAUGCAAGUCGAACGGAAAGGCCCUGCUUUUGUGGGGUGCUCGAGUGGCGAACGGGUGAGUAACACGUGAGUAACCUGCCCUUGACUUUGGGAUAACUUCAGGAAACUGGGGCUAAUACCGGCUAGGAGCUCCUGCUGCAUGGUGGGGGUUGGAAAGUUUCGGCGGUUGGGGAUGGACUCGCGGCUUAUCAGCUUGUUGGUGGGGUAGUGGCUUACCAAGGCUUUGACGGGUAGCCGGCCUGAGAGGGUGACCGGACACAUUGGGACUGAGAUACGGCCCAGACUCCUACGGGAGGCAGCAGUGGGGAAUAUUGCACAAUGGGCGGAAGCCUGAUGCAGCAACGCCGCGUGCGGGAUGACGGCCUUCGGGUUGUAAACCGCUUUCGCCUGUGACGAAGCGUGAGUGACGGUAAUGGGUAAAGAAGCACCGGCUAACUACGUG